AAGAGAUUGUUUCAGGAUUUGGAACAAAAACAAGGUCAAAGACUUAAAGCCAAAACAGGAUUAAUGUUUGGCAAAUUACUGAAAUAGCUGUCGGACGCACAAAAGGACCAUAUCGGACGGCCGACAACCAUUGAUAACUUCGGACGCAUGAAGAACUCACACUCGGACGUCCGAAGGUAAUAUGCCAAAACCUCUAUGAUCACUGACCUCGUUCGGACACACAAUACCUCUAUACCGGACGUCCGACAAACGUUGCUAUACUUUGGACGCAAAACACUGGAGCAUCGGACGUCCGAAAGAAAUGAAGAAGGAUUUGCAAGUUUACUUUCGGACGUAUACUGUGGAAGGACCGGACGUCCUAAGAAUCACAAGAAAUUGUCUUGAACUCACUGUCUUCGUUCGGACGUAGAAAAUCAGAGUACCGGACGUCCGACACUACCAACAGCUAGUUGACUUUCCAACUGCCUUCUAUCCGUUGAAAGCAUUAAUUGAAGAAUUUUUUGAUCUCCUAUAAAUUGGGAUUAGUCAACUCUUCAAAAGUACUUUUAC
rnacentral:lncRNA from 1 species